ACUAUCUUAAGAAAAAUUUUUUGAAAAAAUACUGUUGCUGUACUACCUGCCUUCAAGCUUACUUCGUGUCUCCAAACACACUACAAAAAAAACCCAAACCAAAUUUUCAAAGUCAAUCAUUCUUACUUGCAAGUUUUGGUGCUACCCCUUAGGCUAACAAAGCAACAAGCAGGAUCGCUUUAACAGAAGACAAAAAAAACAAUAACAACAUAACAGUGGAUAUUUAUGUAUGUACAUAUGUAUAUGUAUGUAUGUAUAUCGCGAACCAACCGCUUGUGACAAAUAUUCCAAUACAACUAGACAUUUUUUCUCUAUACACUAACACCAACGCACACUUUCGGGUUAUUUUUUGUUUACCUAAAUGCGAUGAAAAAAGUUUUUUUCAUUUCUUGAUUUAUUUGAAUGAAUGCGAAAGAGGAAACAUAAUUGUCAAUAGUGACAAUUAGGGAUGCUCGAUGAACAUCGAUGUUCGAUGAUCAUCGAUGUUGAAAGCAAAAACAUCGAUGUUUUAAUAUCGAUGUUGCCAUACGAAAAAUAUCGCAACAUCGAUGUUAACGGAAUCAAUCAUCGAUGUCAACUUACGGCCUCACGCACGACACGGACGUCCACCAAACCAAUGCAACUUAGGAAACAAAUUAUGUCUUCUAUGAACGCAGCCACAAAUUAAAUUUUUUAGUUGUGAACUUCACAAACUGAUUUGUGGCUGCGUUCACAAUGUGAACGCGUCAUUCCGGUCGUUCCCUUCAUUCGUUCGUUCUUCGUGAUUCAUCUUGCACAUUUACGCUCACUCCCACUUCUAUUUGUUUGUUAAUAAAAAAUUGUGUUGUGCGUACCUAUUUAAAUUUACUGAUUUGUUCGUAUUCUACUGGUGUUGUGCAUAUAUAUAUGUAUAUUACAUGGAGUACAACAAUAUGUUAUAAAUGCAUAUAAAUUAUAAAUGAAUAGAAUUAAACAUGCCGCCAAAAAGUCGCUUCUGGGAAUUUUUUGAAAAACUUGAAAAUAUCGAAGCCAAAUUAAUCUAAAAUUUUUAAAUUGAAUUUCAGCUUUUUAUAUUUUUAUAAGAUAUUUGACAAUCAUAUACUUACUUCCCCAUUAAACUGUGAAAUUUAAUAUUUUAUUUUUAAAGUUGUAAUAACAUUUAUUUAUAAUUUGUACUUCAUGUUUUCAAAGAUAUGAAUAAAUAAAUUCAUUGAAAAUGAAAUAUGCGUUACGAUUAUUUAAAAAUACAAGUAUAACAUCGAGAAAAACGUUUAAAAUAAGUCGUAAAUGUGCUGUGCACACUGGCUGUGGCUUAAUAAAUUUCGAAUUUAUAGAUUGUGUUUUAUUUCUUUGUCAAUUAUUAAUGUAAAAAUUAUCGAUGGAUCCAACAUCGAUGGAUCCAACAUCGAUGUUCGGUUUUUGAUAAAUAUCGAACAUCGAUGUUGAGCUUUCGAUUAUGACAUCGAUGUCAACAUCGGUGUUUUUUGAAUAUCGAUCAUCCCUAGUGACAAUAGAAAAUCCCAAAAAGGGUAAUAAAAAAAACGAUUGAAAGACGCAUGUCGUUCGUGAUCGUACCAUCGUAAAGGAGGCUCGUACAACAAGAAGCAUUGGAAAUCAGAACUGAAUUGGAAGGAGCAGCAGCAGCUAUAUCAUCAGAAGCGACAAAUAUCAAUUGUUAAGUGAAAAAAGUGUGUGUACUUUGAAAUUGGACUGCGUAGUCCAAUAUAAUACGCAAAAAUAAAUACAUACAUAAAACAUAUCGUCACCUGAAAUGCAAAAUAACGUAUCAUCAAAAAAUUUGAAAUUGAGUGUCUUAUUGAUUACGCUUCACUACUUCAAAUUACAUACAUAAUAUUACAUAUGUCCAACAUUUUCAGAUUCUGCGGCCAGAUAUAAACCAGUUUUAACCAAUAUUAAAAUUUUGUUUCACUCAUGUUCCAUUUUAUUUCGUGUUUCAUUCAUGCCACUUUAAAUUUCCGAAAAUGUUGUUACGUUAUUUUGCAUUUCAGGUAACGAUAUGUAUUUUAUGCGUUUAAGGCGGCCUGCACAAUCCAAUAUAAUAUGUGAAAACAAAUGUUUGUUUUAUAUUUUAAAUGAUCAAAUAAUAUUUAUCUUUUCUUUCAGAUAUUAUUAUUUUUUUUUUUUAUUUAAUUAUUCUUUCUUUUCAUAUUUUAUCACUAUUUUUAUUUAAUUAAUCUUUGCUUGCAGAGUAAAUUCUAUUUGUAUUUAAUAUACAUAUUUUAUUUUUUCAGAUAAUAUUAAUCUUUUCUCUCAGAUAUUACAAAUUCAAUGUAAUUAUUAUUUAUUUUCAGGUUUUAUUACCUUUACUUUAUUUUCAUGUAUUUGUCUUU